rnacentral:rRNA from 1 species
UGAGCAAUGUGCCCUUGACUCUGGGAUAAGCGCUGGAAACGGCGUCUAAUACCGGAUACGACGACCGGAGGCAUCUCCUGGUCGUGGAAAGAACUUCGGUCAAGGAUCAGCUCACGGCCUAUCAGUUAGUUGGUGGGGUAACGCUCACCAAGGCGACGACGGGUAGCUGGUCUGAGAGGAUGGCCAGCCACAUUGGGACUGAGACACGGCCCAGACUCCUACGGGAGCAG